AACGAGCUACUGCGGAUUGAACCUGAGAAGACGCGGAGCACGGCUGAGGGCGAAGCCUUCAUCCAGGCCCUCCCAGGCAGUGGCACCACACCCCUGCUGAGGACCCGGGUGGAGGACACCAACCGGAAAUACGAGCACCUCCUGCAGCUGCUGGACUUGGCCCAGGAGAAGGUUGAUGUGGCCAACCGCCUGGAGAAGAGCCUGCAGCAGAGCUGGGAGUUGCUGGCCACACACGAGAACCAUCUGAAUCAGGAUGACACAGUGCCUGAGAGCAGCCGUGUCCUGGACAGCAAGGGGCAGGAGCUGGCGGCCAUGGCCUGUGAGUUACAGGCCCAGAAGUCCCUCCUGGGUGAGGUGGAGCAGAACUUGCAGGCGGCCAAGCAGUGCUCGAGCACACUGGCCAGCCGCUUCCAGGAGCACUGUCCGGACCUGGAGCGCCAGGAGGCCGAGGUGCACAAGCUGGGCCAGCGUUUCAACAACCUGCGCCAGCAGGUGGAACGCAGGGCGCAGAGCCUACAGAGCGCCAAGGCAGCCUACGAGCACUUCCACCGCGGCCAUGACCACGUGCUGCAGUUCCUAGUCAGCAUCCCCAGUUACGAGCCCCAGGAGACAGACAGCCUCAGCCAGAUGGAGACCAAGCUGAAGAACCAGAAG
rnacentral:lncRNA from 1 species